UACGUAGGGUGCGAGCGUUAAUCGGAAUUACUGGGCGUAAAGCGUGCGCAGGCGGUUCGUUAAGUCAGCUGUGAAAGCCCCGGGCUUAACCUGGGAAUGGCGGUUGAAACUGGCGAACUUGAAUCUGGCAGAGGGGGGUGGAAUUCCGCGUGUAGCAGUGAAAUGCGUAGAGAUGCGGAGGAACACCGAUGGCGAAGGCAGCCCCCUGGGCCAAUACUGACGCUCAGGCACGAAAGCGUGGGAGCAAACGGG
rnacentral:rRNA from 1 species